rnacentral:rRNA from 1 species
UAACCUGCCCAAGAGAUCGGGAUAACACCUGGAAACAGAUGCUAAUACCGGAUAACAACAGAUGAUGCCUAUCAACNGUUUAAAAGAUGGUUCUGCUAUCACUCUUGGAUGGACCUGCGGUGCAUUAGCUAGUUGGUAGGGUAACGGCCUACCAAGGCGAUGAUGCAUAGCCGAGUUGAGAGACUGAUCGGCCACAUUGGGACUGAGACACGGCCCAAACUCCGUACGGGAGGCAGCAGGC